AACGAACGUUAGCGGCGCGCCUAACACAUGCAAGUCGAGCGAGAAGGAAGCAAUUCCUGUAAAGCGGCGCACGGGUGAGUAACACGUAGGUAAUCUACCUCGAAGUGGUGGAUAACCUUCCGAAAGGAGGGCUAAUACAGCAUGAGACCACGGUUUCGAAAGAGAUUGAGGUCAAAGCGGGCCACUAUACAUAAGCUCGCGCUUCGAGAUGAGCCUGCGGCCCAUCAUGGUAGUUGGUAGGGUAAUGGCCUACCAAGCCGAAGACGGGUAGCUGGUCUGAGAGGAUGAUCAGCCACACUGGAACUGAGACACGGUCCAGACUCCUACGGGAGGCAGCAGUGGGGAAUCUUGCGCAAUGGGCGAAAGCCUGACGCAGCGACGCCGCGUGAGUGAUGAAGGCCUUCGGUUGUAAGACUCUGUGGAGGGGGACGGAAGUAAGGGUUAGGCGUACGAUCCAGCUCGAUGA
rnacentral:rRNA from 1 species